rnacentral:SRP_RNA from 2 species
GGACGUUAUGGAGCUGAAAGCGGCGAGGGAAGCCAUACCAGAGGACUCGCCGGCCCUUCAGGCCGAGAGGAGGCGGAUGGGAAAGCUCCGUGCG